rnacentral:lncRNA from 1 species
AUAGAAUAACAGAAGCAUGGUGGUAGGAUCUGAGUCUCUGAAUUGAGAAGAAGGAACCUGUACAUCUUUUGAAAUGAACAGAUUCCUACAAUGUUUACUGAGCUAUUGGAAGCACGAAUAGACCUUAGUGUUAUGAUAUAAACCUGCUCAAAAUACUGAGAAACAACACAGACCUGGCCACAAUGUAUGAAGAAAUGCAGCUUUGGUAGAUGCUCUCCACAAAAAACAGCUAUUAAUACAAAAUAUGCACUGGAAACAACGUGAAACAGCUGUGAAUAUUAAUGACAACGAUGGCUUCCCAGGGUACUCCUGACCAAAGCCUACAUGUUAACAUCAUUGUGUUGGAUAAAGAAAAAUUUCCUAGGGAGAUGCAAGCCUAGAUUUUCACAUAUUUCUCUCAGAAGCAAUCUGAAGAGAUUAGAAAACAUACACAUGGAUGCUGGAACAUGUUUGCUAGCUCCAUAUUUUAAAAUUUUUAAUUUGAAAAUUGGCUCCAAAGUCAAGCAGGAGUUAUGUCACGAAGGUUGUUUCAGUAACACUCACUUCUACGUGGGAAGCAUAUGGAUUCUGAUUAGCACAUUUGAAGAAGACUGGUGUACAGUAAGUUUCAUUUUGCCUCUGCAUUUUGUAACAAGAAGAGAUUAGCCAGGUCACUAUAUUUUUAAGCCUUAAUUCCACAGUUUCAAAAACCGGAUCGAAAUGUAACUUCAGUAAUUAUACAACUAAAUGCUUAAAAUUUUUCUUUCUGUUUUGUCUUCUAGCGAUUCAUGUGUGAUAUACCCAAGUGGAUAUAAGUAACAGAAGUACUUUCUAAGCUUAUCUGGCUUAAAAUAAAAAAUGAAUAAAAAAUAUAAUUUUUUUGUUA